UACGUAGGGGUGCGAGCGUUGUCCGGAAUUAUUGGGCGUAAAGAGCUUGUAGGCGGUCUGUCGCGUCUGCUGUGAAAAUCCGGGGCUCAACCCCGGACUUGCAGUGGGGUACGGGCGGACUAGAGUGUGGUAGGGGAGACUGGAAUUCCUGGUGUAGCGGUGGAAAUGCGCAGAUAUCAGGAGGAACACCGAUGGCGAAGGCAGGUCGUCUGGGCCACUACUGACGCUGAGAAGCGAAAGCAUGGGGAGCGAACAGG
rnacentral:rRNA from 1 species